rnacentral:lncRNA from 1 species
UCAUAUUUCAUCAGACCUCUACGAAGAUUCUAUCUAUAUAAAUCAUGAGGCAUGUUGACAAAAAAGUUAAUUGAGAUCAUUUUUACCAAAUCGAUGUAGGCAAAAGUUAAUUGAGAUCAUUUUUACCUUUCGCGAGUUCGCCAUACAACAAAAGCUUCAAAACUGGUAAGGAAAAAGAUUAGAAUCAACAAUCACAUUCCUAAGGGCAGAGUGGAGGAUCACCUGCAUCGGCCUCAUAUCUAUAACUUCAUCUUCCGUGAACACUACUUUAGUCGAUCAAGUAACUAAAAAUUAAAAGAACAAGCUAGUAAAAUCCAAAGAACACAGCAGAUAUGUUUUUCCUUUGUGAUUUCAAAAACAAGGUUUAAAAACAGCACAAAAGUGGGAGUUAUGUGGAGGAAUACAAAUUCCCCCUGAUAAAACGAAUACGGAAGAAACAACUCCAAUUGUAUGCGAGAGUCAACAGCCAAGAUCAAAUGGUAAAACAAGUUAAGAGAGGUUCAAGGAUGCAAGCUGNNN